AGAGUUUGAUCCUGGCUCAGAUUGAACGCUGGCGGAAUGCUUUACACAUGCAAGUCGAGCGGCAGCGCGGGGGCAACCCUGGCGGCGAGCGGCGAACGGGUGAGUAAUACAUCGGAACAUGUCCAGUUGUGGGGGAUAGCCCGGCGAAAGCCGGAUUAAUACCGCAUGAGCUCGAGAGAGGAAAGCGGGGGACCGUAAGGCCUCGCGCGACUGGGUUGGCCGAUGUCCGAUUAGCUAGUUGGUGGGGUAAAGGCCUACCAAGGCGAUGAUCGGUAGCUGGUCUGAGAGGAUGAUCAGCCACACUGGGACUGAGACACGGCCCAGACUCCUACGGGAGGCAGCAGUGGGGAAUUUUGGACAAUGGGGGAAACCCUGAUCCAGCCAUUCCGCGUGAGUGAAGAAGGCCUUCGGGUUGUAAAGCUCUUUUGUCCGGAGCGAAACGGUUAGCGUGAGUAUCGCUGACUACUGACGGUACCGGAAGAAUAAGCACCGGCUAACUACGUGCCAGCAGCCGCGGUAAUACGUAGGGUGCGAGCGUUAAUCGGAAUUACUGGGCGUAAAGCGUGCGCAGGCGGGCUUUUAAGCCAGACGUGAAAGCCCCGGGCUUAACCUGGGAAUGGCGUUUGGGACCGGAAGUCUGGAGUGCGGCAGAGGAGCCUGGAAUUCCUGGUGUAGCGGUGGAAUGCGCAGAUAUCAGGAGGAACACCGAUGGCGAAGGCAGGUCUCUGGGCAGUUACUGACGCUGAGGAGCGAAAGCAUGGGGAGCGAACAGGAUUAGAUACCCUGGUAGUCCAUGCCGUAAACGUUGGGCACUAGGUGUGUGGCGGGUUCCACUCGUUCUGUGCCGCAGCUAACGCAUUAAGUGCCCCGCCUGGGGAGUACGGCCGCAAGGCUAAAACUCAAAGGAAUUGACGGGGGCCCGCACAAGCGGCGGAGCAUGCGGAUUAAUUCGAUGCAACGCGAAGAACCUUACCAAGGCUUGACAUGUACGAGAAAGCCCCAGAGAUGGGGUUCUCUUUGGACACUCGUACACAGGUGGUGCAUGGUUGUCGUCAGCUCGUGUCGUGAGAUGUUGGGUUAAGUCCCGCAACGAGCGCAACCCUUAUCCUAUGUUGCCAGCGGGUUAUGCCGGGGACUCAUGGGAGACUGCCGGGGUCAACUCGGAGGAAGGUGGGGAUGACGUCAAAUCAUCAUGCCCCUUAUGUCUUGGGCUUCACGCAUGCUACAAUGGCCGGUACAGAGGGCUGCGAUACCGUGAGGUGGAGCGAAUCCCAAAAAGCCGGUCUCAGUUCGGAUCGGGGUCUGCAACUCGACCCCGUGAAGUCGGAGUCGCUAGUAAUCGCAGAUCAGCAACGCUGCGGUGAAUACGUUCCCGGGCCUUGUACACACCGCCCGUCAAGUCACGAAAGUUGGUAACACCCGAAGCUCACGGCCCAACCCCUUGUGGGAGGGAGUGGUCGAAGGUGGGACUGGCGAUUGGGACUAAGUCGUAACAAGGUA
rnacentral:rRNA from 1 species